AAGCAACUUCCUAGUUAUGAGAAGAAUCUCACAGAAACUCUAAAAAUCUAACUGCAAUUAACUAUAACUAAUCUUGGUGGUAUUGAUUCAUUUUUAAAGACAUUUAAAAUUACCUAGCCAAAAUUAAUUCAUGGUCUCAAGAAACAAAUUUCACAGAAAAAUCCAAGGAAAAUAUCUUCACUGCACAGCAAAAGAUAUAAAAGCCUUGUCUUGUUUUCUAUGUAGACUAGAGGUUUCCUGGAGCUGCUGCAAUAGAGUACAGUGAGCUUAAGCUGCCCUUUAGACUGGGCUGUGGGAUUUGGCCGAAAUAUUUGAAUUAAGUAAAUCCUAAAGAUACCCUGGGCAGUACCACAGGUUGACAGAUUAGCUUAAAUGACUAGUCUCCGUUCUGUACUUGUGACCAACAGGGAGGAUUUUCCCGUAUCUGCUACAAAUCUGGCACACAAACUGGUUUCCACCUCUGAAAAGGCCGCAGAGUGUAACAGCGAGAGCUAUGAAGUCACAGGACGGGCAGAAGUCAGUGUGGAACCUUCAAAUGCAUAUAAGCUUAUUCUGUAUCAUUCAAGUUUAUGAAAAGAAAGACCAAACGACCAAAAAAGCCCCAGUAAUAAAAUCACUGCCUUUACUCCUGACUUUAUGAAGAAAAACUGACCUCAAAUAGACUUAGAACUUCACUGCUUCCAUGAAGACAGAAAAGAAGUCCCACAAGGAUUUUCUGAGCGCAACCGUGACCGGCGCACUGCAGAAAAUACAAAGGAGCCCAAUGUGCCCGGAACGCUUCACGCCUGGAAGGUGACACGCAUACAGAGUGGAGAGCGAGCCUACAGAAAAGUUGAUGACUCAGUUUGUAUCUGGCACGCAUACCAAACCACAGAGUUUUCUCCAGUCAUUUCUGUAGCAAGCUUAAUAAAUAGCUCAAAUGAUACAGCUUUCCUAGAAAGAUAGACCGUCCUGAUUUUGAGUGAUGAAACACAACAUUUUUCUUGUACAUUUUUUUUUUGCCGAGAAAUUUCACGCUAAGGGUGUUUAGCUGCUUUGAACAUGGCGGCUCACUGAACACAAACUUACAUUUUCUUCCCAAGCAAUUUUGUCCCCCUCUGCGACUGAUGUUGUCACAUCCACUGUGAGCGCCUCCUCUGAUUUUUCUAACUUCUGUGUUCAGAAUUCUGAACAAUAAUUUAUUUCAUUCAUACUCCUAA